rnacentral:rRNA from 1 species
UACAGAGGUCUCAAGCGUUGUUCGGAUUCAUUGGGCGUAAAGAGCGUGUAGGCGGCUCGGUAAGUCCGCUCUGAAAGCCCGGGGCUCAACCCCGGGAGGCGGGCGGAUACUGUCGGGCUAGAGUCCGGAAGAGGCGAGUGGAAUUCCUGGUGUAGCGGUGAAAUGCGCAGAUAUCAGGAAGAACACCCGUGGCGAAGGCGGCUCUCUGGGACGGUACUGACGCUGAGACGCGAAAGCGUGGGGAGCGAACAGG